rnacentral:lncRNA from 1 species
CUCGCUGUGAUAGCUGCCGUCAGAUUCAUGUCAGGGGCUGAAGGCUUUUCUUCCCAGUUCUGCUUCCUCCACCUUUUAUCUUUCACAGGAAUCACCCCCAAUAUCCCUUGUCCUCCUGGCCUCCUCUCAGGGCCUGCUUUUCAGCAACCCAAGAACACUCCAGGGGCAUUUUUCAAGAAGCUGGCCUUCUCAGAACCAAGGGUUCCAGCAAAACUCCCAGGCCUGACUCUCAUUGGUGGAAAUUAGGGUACCCAGCUUGUCCCAAACCCUCCCUGUGAAUCUGAUUGGCUAGGCUUGGGUCAUGUGACCACUCAUGGUCGGGAGCAUCCCUUUUCAACAACAUCCCUUUGUAGUUCACCAAAGGAGAGCUGCCUCCUCCUCUCAGCAGGGAAGGGAACGGCUGCUGUGCAGGCAGAAACUGUGGCUCCGCCUUGGCCCCCUUGGCAGGCUGUGAAUGCAGAAGGCCUGGCUCUUAGCCAGCUUGUCACAUCACCUUUUGGGACUCAGUGUCCGUGUCUAGAAAAUGGGGGCACAUGGCAAAUGGAUUCCUGCCCUGGUUCUUCAUGGGGCCUUUGUGAGCAGCCUGGGAAUAGCCUGCUGAGGCAUGGCUCUGGGAGGGGACUCUGUCACAGCGCUCUUCCUGCUCUGGGUCUGACCAGGCUGGAGGAAGGACUUGCUAACUGUCCCAGCCAUGGCCGUGUGUGUGUGUGUGUUGGGGGGUGGGUAGGGAUGGGGAUGGGGGGAGGUGAGAGGGAAAGGGGUUCACCUCCUUGCACUAGAACCUUCUGCCUUCCUCCAAAGGCCCCCGAUUCAAGGCCAGCUUCCAAUGAGGGAGGCGGAAACAUGUGCUUCACAGAGGCUCCUCUGGAAACCAUGGUGACAGCCCCAAAUGUGAUUUAGUGACACCCUUCUGUUGUCUUAGGUCACCCGCCAGAAAUGCCAAGCUGAGGAAGGAGCAGGGGAAGCUGUUGAAGCAAAUUGUGCAUAAUUAGGACUGUUGUCUCCUGCUAUGGUCUGAAGAUUCAUAUGUGGAAACCUAAUCCCUACCUUGGGGAUAGUAAGAGGUGGGGCCUUUGGGAGCUGACGAGGUCAUGAGGGCCCCACUGUCAUGAUUGGGAUUAGUGCCCUCAUAAAGGAGGCCCAAGGGAGCUUGUUCACCCCUUCCAACAAGCGAAGAUGAUGCAAGAAGGGGCCACAUGUGAUGCAGAGGGUGGGCCCUCAUGGAAUCUGCUGGCACAUUGACCUUGGACUGCCCAGCCUCCAGAACUAUGCUCCAGUGCACACAGAAGCAUCCAUCCCACACUGCAGCCCUUGAGGGCAUCGUCACGGGCAUCAUGUCAAGUGCCUCAGCCACCUACCUUCCCAAGGCAUGUGCUUCAGUCAGCACUUUGUCAGAAUCAACCACAGGUGAUGGUGUGGCUGAUUCGCUGUGAUGGCACUGCAUGCUAUGGGUCACUGGUGUCCCAUUUCACAUGGUCAAAAUCCCAGCAUGGCACUCAACUCCAAAGGCAUGACGAGUCUCCAACUCCCACUCCUGGAGGUCUGUAUGUAUCUAGAACCACUUUCUUAACUAGUUCUGUAUCAGCCAGGGUCCAAUCAGGAGACCCUGACUGAUUCUACAUUGGUAAUUUGAACUGGGACAGUCCAAUAUAUAGAAUUAUUGCUGGGCAUGGUGGCUCACACAUGUAAUCCCAGCACUUUGGGAGGCCAAGGCGGGAGGAUCACUUGAAGCCAGGAGUUUGAGACCAGCUUGGGUCUCUACAAAAAAUAAAAAAACAGUUGGG